AACGAACGCUGGCGGCAUGCCUAACACAUGCAAGUCGAACGAGACCUUCGGGUCUAGUGGCGCACGGGUGCGUAACGCGUGGGAACCUGCCCUUAGGUUCGGAAUAACUCCCCGAAAGGGGUGCUAAUACCGGAUAAUGUCUUCGGACCAAAGAUUUAUUGCCUUUGGAUGGGCCCGCGUUGGAUUAGCUAGUUGGUAGGGUAAAAGCCUACCAAGGCGACGAUCCAUAGCUGGUCUGAGAGGAUGCUCAGCCACACUGGGACUGAGACACGGCCCAGACUGCUACGGGAGGGAGCAGUGGGGAAUAUUGGACGAUGGGCGAAAGCGUGAUCCAGCAAUGCGGGGUGAGUGAUGAAGGCCUUAGGGUUGUAAAGCUCUUUUACCCGGGAUGAUAAUGACGGUACCGGGAGAAUAAGCUCCGGCUAACUCCGUG
rnacentral:rRNA from 1 species